GCCAUUGUGGUGUAGUGGUUUAUGCACUGGACUAUGACUCUGGAGGCUAAGGUUCAAUUUCUGGCUCUGCCA